CUAGUUGGUAAGGUAGUGGCUUACCAAGGUGGUUACGGGUAACGGGGAAUCAGGGUUCGAUUCCGGAGAGGGAGCCUGAGAAACGGCUACCACAUCCAAGGAAGGCAGCAGGCGCGCAAAUUACCCGAUCCAGAAACUGGGAGGUAGUGACGAGAAAUAAUGGGGGCACUCCAAAGGGGUGGCACCUGUCAUGAACGCAAAAUAAAAAUGUCGAUAAGGAACUACUGGAGGGCAAGUCUGGUGCCAGCAGCCGCGGUAAUUCCAGCUCCAGUAGAGUAUAUCAAGAUUGUUGCGCUUAAAACGCUCGUAGUUGGAUAUGUGAGCGUAAAGACUAUACGGGUGUAGACUCAUUAGUUAUAUGCAAUCUAUAUUAUAUUCAAAAAAUAUAUAAGAUUGUAAACGCUCUUUGUGAUUGACUCAUGGUUUGGCUUUAAUUAGUCGGGCUAUGGUGUCGAUGAAGUGUGCCUUGAAUAAAGCAUAGUGCUCAAUGCAAGCAAAUCGCUGGUGUGUAAUAGCAUGGAACGAAUAGACUGUCUUGUCAGUCUCACUUAAUAGUGAGGCUAACGCGCCAUUAUCGGUUGGUGGUGCAGACGUCGGUGGUUAAGAGAGACGUCUGAGGGCAUUGGUACUUUGGGGCGAGAGGUGAAAUUCUUAGACCCUCAAAAGACGGACUACUGCGAAGGCAUUUGCCAAGAAUGUUUUCAUUGAUCAAGAACGAAGGUCAGAGGAUCGAAGACGAUCAGAUACCGUCCUAGUUUUGACAGAAAACUAUGCCAGCAUAGGCUUGGGAUGAUCACUCAAUUGAGACGAAUCAUCGCUGUCCUUAAGGGAAACCUUAGCUUUGGGGCUGCUGGGAGAAUAUCGCUGCAAGGCUGAAAUUUAAAGAAAUUGACGGAGAGGCACCACCAGGAGUGGAGCUUGCGGCUUAAUUUGACUCAACACGGGAAAACUCACCAGGUCCAGACAUUGGUAGGAUUGACAGACUGGUGGAUCUUUCAUGAUUCAGUGGAUGGUGGUGCAUGGCCGUUGUUAGUCGGUGGAGUGAUCUGUCAGGUUUAUUCCGGUAACGAGCGAGACUGCGAUUUUUAUUUGGAGUCCCUGGCUCUUGUAGUGUAGGGAUGUCUAUAAAAAGACUAUUGGUAACAAGCCAGCGGAAGCGCAGCAAUAACAGGUCUGUGAUGCCCUGCGAUGUCCUGGGCUGCACGCGUGCUACAAUGGUAGCAAAAGAAGGAUACUGGCCCGAAAGGGUUGGUAAAACGAGAAUAGCUGCCGUGAUGGGGAUUGAGGUUUGUAAUUAUUGCUCAUGAAAGAGGAAUUCCUCGUAAGCACAAGUCAUCAGCUUGUGUUGAAUACGUCUCUGCCUCUUGUAC
rnacentral:rRNA from 1 species